rnacentral:rRNA from 1 species
UCCGUUUGAUCCUGCCAGAGGUUACUGCUAUCGAGGUUCGACUAAGCCAUGCGAGUCGAAUGUAGCAAUACAUGGCGAACUGCUCAGUAACACGUGGACAACCUGCCCUUAGGACGGGGAUAAACCCGGGAAACUGGGUAUAAUACCCGAUAGGUCUCGAUUGCUGGAAUGCAUCGAGAUUUAAAGCUCCGGCGCCUAAGGAUGGGUCUGCGGCCUAUCAGGUAGUAGUGGGUGUAGCGUACCUACUAGCCUACGACGGGUACGGGUUGUGAGAGCAAGAGCCCGGAGAUGGAUUCUGAGACACGAAUCCAGGCCCUACGGGGUGCAGCAGGCGCGAAAACUUUACAAUGCUGGCAACAGCGAUAAGGGAACCUCGAGUGCCAGGUUACAAAUCUGGCUGUCGAGAUGCCUAAAAAGCAUUUCAUAGCAAGGGCCGGGCAAGACCGGUGCCAGCCGCCGCGGUAACACCGGCGGCUCGAGUGGUAACCGUUAUUAUUGGG